GCUUCCUAUAGUAGAAGAACUCUACCUGAUUUUGGUUAGACUUAGACUUAGACUUCUUGGUCUGACUCCCAGCAUUUGGCACCUUUUUAUUCUUUUUCUUCUUCCCUUUCUUAAAAGGAUGAUGUCCACUCGAAGAAGAUCCUCCUAAUAUAUUCACCAUUUCCUUGUGGAGCUAGUGAUCCUUCUCAAAAGUUUGCAGCAACCCCAACAGAUUGUAGUAGUUCACUAUGUUGGGUUCUGGUGGCGCAGCGGAAGGGUUAGG
rnacentral:lncRNA from 1 species